GGCAGGAUUUAGUGGCCAACAAUAUGUUUCACUUUUGUGGUCACAUUUUUAUAAGCAUUUUUGGUUUGUUCCAGAAUUUUCAGGAACCUGUUCAGUGUUCCAGGUUAAGUGCAUGAUCAUGUUCUGCUGAUCUUGAGUGUUCACACAUACAGUACACUCACAUGCUUUUUUUAUAAACUAUAUCAGCACGAUGCUUCAACAUUUUAUUCUAUUUCUCAUCUUCACAUUCUGAUCAAGUCAGUGAUGCUGUCUUUAGAUGAGUUUCAGACAUAAAUAGGGUCUUCAAACGUUUUAGUUUAACAUAAAACACCAUUAAAUAUUAGUUUAUAAAAUAUGCCAACCUCAAAUUAAAGCUGAAAAUGCUUUAUUUUGACCAACUGUGAGCAUGUGACUGUACUUUUUCAUUUUGUUAUGCUGUUUUGUUGAGGUUGUGUUCCUAAGGCCUGUAGUUACAGUUGGUGCUAUUAGCAAUAAACAUUUCACACCCAUCAUGAUGAUGUCUGUUAACUUGUGAAUGUAACUGUCUUGAAAAAAAGGAAUCUUGCAGUGAAGCUCAUUCCCGGGCAGUGGUCAGAAAAAAACAGCUUUGACUUGAAGGUGCUAGUUUAAGUGUAUGGUGAGUAAUAUGAAUUACACUAGUCUUCUUUUAAGGGAUUUUAUUAACGAGCCUUUAUUUUCAAUGUAAUACAGGGUUUUCCAAGCCAAGACUACGGAGUUGACUGUGAGAUCUUCAUGCUGAUGUCUGCUCUGUACGUGGCACUCGAUGCACCAUUUGACUAUACUAUAUCAGACAUGCCCUACUUGCGUAAAUGGUGGUGCUUGCUGUUGAUGGAGAACUUUGAUCUCAGGAGCUAUUUGCACACUGGAGAGAGGAAGCCAAAGCUGUGCUUGAAGGACAACACGAGCCCAUUUUCAGACUGAAAAAGCGCAAGUUCCAGGAAGUCAGUCAGGUCAGUAUUCACUUUAAACAGUAGUGUAAUUACAUGGUAAGUGACAUUUUAAUAACUGUUAAAAAACUGUUCUGCAACAGAGAAAUAGCUAUGUUUUUAUCCCCAAGUGCCUGACACAGGAGCCAGCAGUUGUUGAAGAUCUGCGUCCUGCUGUGCAGUGGGUUGUCCAAAAUAAGGCACUUUUCUGUGGACACGUAACAGUGCCAAAAUAUCUGUCCUUAAAUCAAGGGGACCAGCAGAGGGUCUUAAGAGACAUGUCAGAGGAAGAAGACGCUGGAGCAAGGGACAUGUUCCUCUUUGUUUUUCAGUUUGCAGAGGACAUGGAGCUCUUUUUGAAAGCAUGUGCUGAUGAGCAGGGACUAAGGGUCAGUGCUAUGUUUGACAUGUAAUGGACAAAUGAAGGCACUGACUGUGUUUGUUUGUUUAAUAUGUUGUUGUUGUUUUGUUUUUGUAUAGUACAAAAUUCCAAUUAAACAUUUCAAAAUGUUGUUCACUUGAUUCUAUGUCCAUACUUAUAAUGAAGGAUUACAAUGUAACAGCAUUAAAUGUAAAAGCAUUUUUUUUAUACUUGUAAUUUCAAAAUAAAAAGCUUAUUGUUGAUAUUAACAGUAAAGAAUUGUAAUCAAUAAUAUUUGUAUACAUUUUAAACAUUAGCACUCUGGGCUCUAUCCUGGCCAUUUGUGGCCACUUCACUUUUUUUUUUUUUUGACUGCUGCACUGCAGCGGACCAAAAGAAUGACACGGGUUUGAUCUUAAGGAUCUAAUAGUUGUGUGUGUUGUGCAUGACAUUGCCACACAAAUAUGUAUUUGCAAGAUAGAGUAGAAUAAAUUAUGACGCAUCAAAUAUUACAUAGGCUGCAGUGAAUUUCUGUUGAUAGACUAUUUAGCUUUGAGUUUCCCAGUCAAACUUAGCUUUGAAGCACAUGCUAAAAACACUUACUCUUGUACACUUCAUAACAAGACAGCACAACCAAAAUAUUAACUAAAUAUAUAUUAUUAAAAAAUUCAAAGCUACAGCAACAAACACUUAGUAAAUGUGUCCUGGAGUUUAUGCAGGUGCAGAAUGUGCUGCUGCUGCUGUAAGUAAGCCUAACAGCUUCCAGAUCACUUUUUCUGGAAAGAUGGUAGGAAGGGCAUCACUGCUCAUUUCUACAGUCUCCCAGAUCUUGGAAUGCAAUGCCUUUGUACCAUGAAACCACUUCACAGUCCUAGGAGUCCAUUAAAACCUAUAAAGAGAGUGAUCCUGGAAGAAAUGGGGCACACACUAGUGACCUCAGCAAUUGCAAGACAGCCUUUUCCCCGAUGCUCAGAUGGGGAAAAAAAGGAACUUUCAUGAAGACAUUAGGACUUUAUCACCGUUGAACAAAAAUAAUAGUGCAUAGUAAUCAAUGUUGAUGUUAAUCAAUUAGAUGUCCCAGACUCUACUAUUAAUAAUACAGAAGUCCCUCGUUUAUCGCAGGAGUUACGUUCUAAAAAUAACCCGCGGUAGGUGAAAUCCAUGAAGUAGCCAACUUUAUUUUUUACAAUUAUUAUAGAUGUUAAGACUGUAAAACCCCUCACUACAUGCUUUAUACACUUUUCUCAGACGGGCAUGCUUAAUGCUCUCUGAUCGCUAUGGUAACGCGUAAAUAGUUAUUUCAAAAUAAGACACACAACUACAACCAUACAUUUCACACAGGAGUCUUUUAUUUCUCAGCAGCAUCAAUAGUAACAAAAUCGCUAUUUAGUUUUCGCUGUCAAAGUUAAUUUAACUAAAGCUACGUGUUUCCGGCUACUGUGGAGCUCCACAGCGGCCGCAGCCAGACCCUUCUCGAAAUAUUGGCUGAGCUCUACAGGGCAGGGGAGGGACUAAGGAGAAAAUUGAAAUAUUAAAGAUUAUUUACUUUUUUAAAUAAAAAUAGGUCAGAUGGUCAAAAUUAAACAUUUUUAAAAUUAUUUCACAUUUAAAUCUUGCGUACCCUGUCUUUAAGAGAAAAAUUACACGGUGGGUCAUUACCUUAACCAGAAGUCAUUACUUUCAUUGGAAGUAGUUUUUUAAAAACAAAACUUACCGGAAAAAGCUAUUUAUUUCGGAUUUUUUUUUCCUUUAGAUCUGGACUGGCAAACUUUUAAAUAACGUUACCUACGUUGCAUGAAAAUUGAAUAUUAAAUCCCUUUGUCUUUCAGACAGGGAAUUUUUAUGACAAUAGCACAUACAGUUGUGGUCAGAAGUUUACAUACACUUGUAAAAAAUAUAAUAUAAUGGCUCUACUGAGUG